CCCUACGGGGGGCAGCAGUGGGGAAUAUUGCGCAAUGGGGGAAACCCUGACGCAGCAACGCCGCGUGCGAGAUGAAGGCUUUCGGGUUGUAAACCGCUUUCAGCAGGGAAGAUAAUGACGGUACCUGCAGAAGAAGCCCCGGCUAACUACGUGCCAGCAGCCGCGGUAAUACGUAGGGGGCAAGCGUUGUCCGGAAUUACUGGGUGUAAAGGGAGCGUAGGCGGGGAUGCAAGUUGGGUGUCAAAACUACCGGCUCAACCGAUAGUC
rnacentral:rRNA from 1 species